CAACCCUCAAGCUCUGCUUGGUAUUGGGCCCUGCCACGCUGGCAGGCCCUAAAAUCAGUGGCGGCGUCACCUGGGCUCCAAGCGUAGUAGCAUUUCUCGCUCCGGAGACCUGGUGGUGCUCGCCAGACAACCCCUCAUCUUCUAU
rnacentral:misc_RNA from 3 species